GAUGAACGCUGGCGGCGUGCCUAAUACAUGCAAGUAGAACGCUGAAGGAGGAGCUUGCUCUUCUGGAUGAGUUGCGAACGGGUGAGUAACGCGUAGGUAACCUGCCUGGUAACGGGGGAUAACUAUUGGAAACGAUAGCUAAUACCGCAUGACAACAGUUAUUGCAUGAUAACUGUUUAAAAGGGGCAACUGCUCCACUACCAGAUGGACCUGCGUUGUAUUAGCUAGUUGGUGAGGUAACGGCUCACCAAGGCGACGAUACAUAGCCGACCUGAGAGGGUGAUCGGCCACACUGGGACUGAGACACGGCCCAGACUCCUACGGGAGGCAGCAGUAGGGAAUCUUCGGCAAUGGACGGAAGUCUGACCGAGCAACGCCGCGUGAGUGAAGAAGGUUUUCGGAUCGUAAAGCUCUGUUGUAAGAGAAGAACGAGUGUGAGAGUGGAAAGUUCACACUGUGACGGUAUCUUACCAGAAAGGGGCGGCUAACUACGUG
rnacentral:rRNA from 1 species